GACGAACGCUGGCGGCGUGCCUAACACAUGCAAGUCGAACGGGGUAGAGAGCUUCGGGUUUUCUACUUAGUGGCGAACGGGUGAGUAACGCGUGAGGAACCUGCCUCUCAGUGGGGGACAACAGUUGGAAACGACUGCUAAUACCGCAUAAUAUGUACGGAUCGCAUGGUCUGUACAUCAAAGAUUUAUUGCUGAGAGAUGGCCUCGCGUCUGAUUAGAUAGUUGGUGAGGUAACGGCUCACCAAGUCGACGAUCAGUAGCCGGUCUGAGAGGAUGAACGGCCACAUUGGGACUGAGAUACGGCCCAGACUCCUACGGGAGGCAGCAGUGGGGAAUAUUGGGCAAUGGGGGAAAUCCUGACCCAGCAACGCCGCGUGAAGGAAGAAGGCCUUCGGGUUGUAAACUUCUUUUACCAGGGACGAACACAAUGACGGUACCUGGAGAAAAAGCAACGGCUAACUACGUG
rnacentral:rRNA from 1 species